rnacentral:misc_RNA from 1 species
GCAGCUGUUAGAAGCAACUCAAAUUGUAUUAGCUGAUUCUGGACAUUGGCAAGUUUUAUAUUGAUCAGAUCCUCUGUAUCAUCAAUAUAUUCUUUAAGUGAUGACAACUUGUUCAGAGCGCUGUCAAUGACCACAAAAUAUGUUUCAAGCAACAUUUCAAGCUGAUCAAUAUUUUCUUGACAAUUAGAUGAAGCUGAAAUGCUUCCGUGUUUGCUUGAG